rnacentral:misc_RNA from 1 species
UCAGGUCAGAAAGCAGGAA